AACGCACGAGACCUGCGGACCUGCGGAAGGAUCAUUACUGAGUAACGUGGUCUUUUUUCAUGACCCGCUACCCGCCCUUUGUCAUAUGUUGGACGAGGUCGUCUUUAGGGGCGGCCUCCGACUCCACUUCCCGGGAGGCGUUGCGCCUCAUCAAAGUCUAGGCCUUGAUGAGGAUGGGACCGCCCGGGGUCUUUUUCAAACCCUUUGUGAGAAAUCUGAAGUCUGAAGCGAAAGCUUAAA
rnacentral:misc_RNA from 1 species